GUUAGAUUUAUCUCUCUUUUAUCUCGGUCUAACUCAAGAUUUAUGGAUUUUGUAUCUUCAAAAAACUAACUCUGUUUCAUUUAUUUUUGUGUCAAUUUUGAUUGUCUGAUUUAUUUCUGCCAAUAUUUUUACUAUUGUUUGUUUCUUGUUAUUGUGGUUGACAUUUACUUGAUAGCAUCAGACUUAUGCCAUGCUACAGCUGUCAAGUCACUGAAGCUAUGCUUGUAUGACAUGUUUGUACAUCAAGCAUUUUCUGGGGUGGAGGCCACUGCCUGCUGCACUUGUGAGAUCCUGGGCACCAGGGCUACAACCUAGGAUGCUGAAGUGAUUUCCUAAGUAAUUGGGCCAAACACUGUGCACAGUUAGGAAUCAAUAGCUGUUGAAAAGUACACAGUGUGGUUGUAAAUAUCAACGUCAUGUGGCUAAGCUAAGUAUUAGCACUAUGGCAGAUCAAGAUCAGUGAAAGUAGCUACUUGCUCAACACUUUCUAGGUAUGCGAGUUUACAGAACAGUGGGUUAUAUUUUGGUCCAUGAUACUGACAUACACUGUCCACUGCUAUCUAAGUGCUGCUCUGUGUCCAGUUUUAGCUUUCUACUGCAGCCAUAACAAAGAGCCCAGAGACAAUUUUGAUUUAGUUGUUUUUUCUAGGGGCCCUGACUCAUGCUCUAUGUUGUACCAGUUUCAUUUAAAUUUACUUGCACACCUGGUGAGGAGGGCUGAGAGAAUUUUACCUGAUAUGGUAAAAUAUUGGCCUUUUCAAGUGCUUCCACCUAGGGAACAUAAAGGUGUCAAGUAGCUCUGUCUUUAUUAGGCAAUAUGUACAUGUAGACUGUUAACUAAAUGGGGAAUGAAACCUUGUCACUUAGCAAAGAGCUCCAAAAAUAUGUGCAUGCUCUUAUCCCCAUACAGGGUACAGUAAAUGCUUACAUUUUAUUUCAUGCUUGGCCUCUCAUUAAAUGGGUCUUUUCCAACCACGUCAUUUCCUGGAAAUUCAUGGACAUUCUAGUCCUUUGUAUUAUUUUUUAAUUUUUAUUUUAAAGAGAAAAAAAUUAAAAAUAAUAAGAGUUUCAAAACAGGCUUGCUGGAGAUUAAUAGUGUUUAACACAUUGUAUGUUGUUAUCUUCAUAGUACUUGCUUAGAGUACAAGAUAUAUGCAUGAAAUAUUUACCAAAAAAUAGUAGCUUAAACUUUUCUUUUCAAUGAGCUAAAAGAAAUUGACUGUAGACCAUGUGCCUUAGAAGAGACAAUCUAUCCCGUACUGUGAAAGCAAGCACAUGGUAGGUCUGUUGGAUUCCAUAAGAGAGCAUAGUCUUCAACAGUUUGCAUAAUACCACCCAAGUAAUAAAGUUAAACUACUUCAGCAGGGAACAAGACUAAAGUGUGGACUUGAGCUCCAAUUCCAUGGUGGCAAGGUGCAGGCAUCUUUGAAGCAGCCUCCAGAAUCUCUACUUUCUCUUUGUCUCAAAUAAAGCCCAGCUUCUCCUGCACAUCUGUUUGUCAGGGAAUGCUAGAAAAGGCAUUGUCUAAAUACAGCACAGGAAGAUCAGAGCCAUGAGAGGACCUGAUAUUUUUUCUAGUAACUAAAUAAUGAUAAGGGACAAACCAUAGACAGGAGAUAUCACUUUCCUACCGUAUAGUUGACAGUCAUUGCACAAACUCCAUCUAGUUUUUUGAGAGGCCACACAGAUCAAUUGAAAGAACUGAAAUAGGUCAUAAAAUCCAAUCUCAUAUAACUCACCAUCACUCAUGCCUCUCUGGUCACUCGCCUUAGCAUUCUGAAGUGAUGUUGGCCAUACCUCUAGUCAUAUGACUCAUUGCCAUUAUCCCCCUCAGGGUAUUCUACCUCUCUUCAAACACACUUAUCGCAUCCUUCUUGCCACUUUCUGAAGGAGUUCUGGAAGUUCUCUUCUGUGAGGUCCGUGAAAGUGUGAUCAAGAGCUUCUAUACUUCUGGACGGAGUGGUGGUCCCGGUCCGUGAGCUGGCGAUUCCAUCACCCGCAGCUUGUCCCUAUCCUGUCUUUUGGGUUACAGGCUGCACUGGAUGGAGCUGUCAGCUCAUGUUCCCGCCAUGCCGGGGUGGAUCAUCAACUUGCCAGCUUUACUAAGGUCCCUUCGCCUGGGCUCCUUUCCCGAGAAGUGGCACCCUGGCCUAAAUCCCAGCCCGCCACGCUUCCUCGGGCUCCUCUGCCUGCUGUGUGCUCCCUUUAAAUAGGGAUCAUAAAUUAAGGAAUCAAGGCCCUUUGAAGAAAUGACUGAUGCCAGAGCAGAAGCUGGGGACAACGAAUUAAGACCCUUCAGACAGUCUCAACAAGAAGUCAAGGAUUUCACCUAGAAAAUAUCAAGAAGACACAGGAACUCACAUAAGGGGCUGCCCACUGAAAAAGUAAGAUAUAUAUACUAUUAAAAUUUAGAACAGAGACUUCUGGGAGAACAUGGCAGACAGAUAACAGCUACUACAGAGGCUCUCUGAAAGACUCGGCUCAGAAGUCAGGAAGGAUGCGGAGUAAGGAGACAUCAGCUGGUGGAGAUAUGCUCUGCUGACUCAGGAACGAACUGGGCUAGAGAAACCAACUUGGAAUGCUGUCCUGGUGCUAAAACAGGAACAGAAAAGCCUCAGUGUGGAGGCUGGAGCCCACACCAUUGGAAGCCGCGAUUUGGGUUUCCCGCUGCGGCGGCUGCCUCUACAUCAGCUCAGCAAGGAGAGAGACCCGCGGAAGCUCUGAGAAUGGGAAUCUGCGAACGGAGUCGAAAACAGGAGGGGCAGGGAGGCGUGCACUGGCUUGUGGUGAGGUGAGUGAGAGAAACUGACACUCUACCACAGUUUGACUCCAGCGGAGGUCAUUCUGGGCCCGGGCAAUCCUGUGGGAGCAGAGUGCGGUGGCGACUUCAGCCACACAUCCCCCUCUCAGGCGGGAUUGGUGAGUGGUGCCUAGCCUGCGUGACGCUGCUGGCGGACCCAGUGGGCCGGCCCAACUCAGAUCCCAGAGCCUGACGGUGGCCAGGAGGGACAGGCCCCAUAUAGGCUGCCUGGUCUGGAACUUCCUGGUGCGCUGCGGUGGGCGGGAAAAACUAACUGGUGCAAUUCAAUCAGGCUGUGGCUGACAGGGAGGGAAGCUGAGACUCCUAUGUAAGCUUGCAUAUAUAAGGAACAGAAAAUAUGGGAAGAGGCAGCAACAAGAAAGUCUCCUCGGCCCCCAAUUCUGAGAAACAGGUAAUAGCAGACACUGCACCAAUAGACAUAAAGCGCCAUAUAGAGAGCCUCAUAGAUAGUUCAGGAAUGAAGUUAUCAAUGACCUGAAGCUAGAAGUAUGCAGAAUAGUUAGAGAAAUGCUAAGCACCACCCAAGAAAAAACAGAUGGUGGAAUGGAAGAACAGAAAAAGAGGGGAUAAUUGUUCGAUGGAGAAAACAGAGAAAGCAUAGAAUACGUGAAGCAGGUUCAAAGGGACUACCAAGAAACAAAGAAGUCUAUCAAAAACUGGCAUAACAGCUUGAAAGAAACUAAGGACAGACUAUCUGAACUGGAGGGCAGAUUUGUAAUAUGGGAGAAUGAAAUGAAAAACUUCUUAAAAAUAACAAAGAAACAAACAGCAAUAAUACAAAGACGAGAAGAUGAUAAGAGGAUCCAUAACUUAAGGAUUAAGAACAUAAAAGAAAAAGUAGGGAUACAAACAAAUGAACUACAAAAGCUACUCACAGAAAUAAUGCAGGAGAAUUUUCCUAAUUUAGCAAAAGGUAAAGAUACUCAGAUGUAUGAGGCAUACAGGACCCCAGCUACCUACAACCCAAACAGAGAAACACCCAGGCAUAUAAUAAUAAAAAUUCCAGAAAUUCAAUACAAGAACAGAACAUUAAAAGCUGUCAGAGACAAGAAACAGACCACUUAAAAGGGAACACCCAUCAAACUUACAGCAGAUUUCUCUGCACAAACCAUCAAAUCACAAAGAGCGUGGGGGGAAAUAAUUCAAGCUUUGAAAGAUAAUAAUCUCCAGCCAAGAUUAAGAUAUCCUGCACAACUGUCCCUGGAAAUUGAUGGAAAAACAAGGUGCUUCCAGGAUAAAGAGGAACUGGGGGAAUUUGCAACCACCAAUUCAACUCUACAGAGAGUAUUGCAGGAUAUUCUAAAAAAAGAAAAAUACAAAGAAUCCAGAAAUAGUGGCAGGGAGGCCACAACGAAUGGAGCAGAGAACAAAAUGAAGAAGACAAACUGACAGCUACUGACAGAAAAAGAGCUCAACAGAAAUGAGGCAGAGAAGAUUGGAUGAUAGGAACAGCUUUUGGAGAAAAUGACACCUUAAUAGGUAAUACUGAUCUAGUAUCAUCUUGUUUUGAAGUCUCAUCAAGCUUUUGUUCUUCUGUCUCCAUUGGUCUAAAUAGGUUGUAUUGGAUUUUAUUAUGUACAAUAGUAUAAGCAAAAACCUUUUAAAGACAAGGAGAUUAUACAGAAACCAUUGUUCAUUUUCUGUUAGUCGAUUCUAAAUACCCUGUAAUGCUAUCAUUCUCUUAAAUGCUUUUACAUUGUUUUGAUAUAUUUAAUGCUACAGUACACGAAGUUGUACUCAAGGAUUUCAAGGAAAGAGACAAUAUGGUAACUACUUCUAUGUCAGGAUUAUCUGGUGGUGAAACACUAUUCUGCUUAAAUGGUUAUGUUUUGAUCUGCGCUGUUUUGCUGUUAUGCCCUCUUUUAUCUCAAUCUCCACUCCAUUAUUUACUUUUUUAUUUUUAUCCUUUUAAUUAAGGGAAAAAUAAAUAAAAAUAGCAGGAUAUAUUAUAGUAACCCACUUUGACUUUCCAUUAUCUCGAUUUAAAGCCCUGUAUUACUCUCACCAUCUUGUUUUUGACUGAUGUUCCCCUAUUCUGUUUUGCUGGAUAGUAUCAGGUUCAAAAGUUUAGGCAACAGCUGUGAAGAUAAUGAGAUUCUUUAAGACACCCAUUCUCAUUGACUUUUAUCUACUUUUGAAGACCUACAAUGUCUCCAAUGUUUUGGUUUUGUCGGUUUUGUUCUUUACUGUUUUGUUCAAUUUUAUUAUAACUAAUGAUAUAGACAAUUCUAUUAGAGAUAGUGGGAGGCAUUAUGGUAACCAUUGUUGAUCACCUUGUAUUAUGUUUUUACAUUAUCUAUUAUGUCCACCCUUUUGAUUUGACUGACUCUGUUCUGUUAUGUCACAUUUGGUUUUACUCUCUUCCAAAAAUGUAAUAAGAACCGUGGGAGCAAUGAAACCCAAAAUGUGCAAUAGUCAUUGUAUAAAAGAGAGGAAAAGAAAGCGCUCUAAACUAUAUAACUGCAUGUAUAUUUAAGUGUAUAAGAUAGAAAAUGAUAUAACUGAGUUUUAUUGGAUCAUUGAACAGAACUGUUUGCAGUAUCAUUGUUGGAAUGUCCACUUUACAAGCUUUAAUUUUGUGACUUGAACAAUUAUUUCUAAGAUGACAAUAUGUAACCCAUUAACUAGUGAUUUCCUACUGUUUAUUUUUUUUUCUGUAAAUCUGUAUAACUUGUACCCUUUCUCUGCUUUUUUUUUCCUUCUUAAAUAAAAUUUAAAAAAAUUAAAAAAAAAAUGAAAGUGUGAUCAAGAACAUGAUGAAAGGGGCUGGGGACUUAGCUCAGCGGCAUAAUUGCCUACCUUGCAAGCAGGCAGUCAUGAGUUUGAUCCCUGGUACCGAUAAAAAGGAAAAAGACAAAAAAACAAAACAAAAAAAAAUGAUGAAAAAUGCUUUCUAACAGAAACAGAGGUCUAAAAACUCCACGAUGUAUCUUUAUCCACCUUGUUCAAUGUGUUUAGCACUGUGUGACUUCUGAUUCUUUCAUAAAGUCAACAUGAUCCAGAAAGGUAAAUACCUUUAAUUUACUCGGAAUAUCCUGGAUGCUAUGACAGCACAACUAAAGUAGUUGAAGAGGACUUCCAACACUCAACCGAAAAUUGCAGGAGUAAUGGGAUUGUGCAUUUCACAUAAGAAGGAUGCUAGCAGUAUGGGGAAGAACUUCUCGUUGGAUCACUCAGCAUCAUCGCAGGACUCCGCUCACCCCUGGGAGUUCAGUCUCAUCCUCAUACCUUCUAUAGUCUUUUUAUCAGCAGUGAGAGCUUUAUCUGACUGCAGGAUGCAUUUCCCUAUUGCUGCCUGUGACUCCAGGAACCUCUUAAAGACUUCCUCUGCCUGUGGGUUUAAGAAUUAAAAUGCUUACAAUUUGAGAAUAUUUCUGCAAAACAAAUACAUGCAUUCAUUUUGCUUCAUGAUUAAAUAUUAUAGUGGCUCUCUACAAAGGGGUCAACUUCUUCAGUGUAACCAGAGGCUUGCCACCUCUUCUGAUUUCCAUCUCCCUUCCUCCAGUCUUUUUUGGACUCUUUCCUACUACCUGCUCUAGGGUUUAGUCAGUCAGGAUCAUGUGCCUGUGUCAAAACCAUAAUGUCUGAUGCUUUUGUGUAUUUCUCUUCAAACAAGACAUGCUGACUCUGUACUGUGUUGUCCAGAUUUUAUUGGCUUUAUCUCUACGAAAGUUAUUUAAUCUGUAGGGGCUUCUCAGCACAUUAGUGUAAAAUAUGCACAAUAAAUGUAAAACUUAAAGCU